UCAAGUAAACAAUAAAAUAUAAGGUUUUCUGACAAUUUAUCAAAACGAAGUUAUCUGUUUUUACAAAUGAACUCUUCAUUUGUAAACAGAGACAGUUUGCAUGACCUUUAAGGUUUCUAAGACUUUUAUCUGCACCUUCUGCUGUGUUUGCACUGAAAAGGAGAAGUUCUCCAAUCUUCUUGUAUAUCUAUAAUGACAACAAAUAUAUUCUAUUCUAUUGUAUUCUAUUCUAUUGUAUUCUAUUCUAUUCUAUUCUAUUCUAUCUCCUCCAUACAUGUGUCAUGUUCUUAAAAUGUGAAGAGGCAGAGCUGUGUUUCCUCUAAUUAUCAGGUUUAUCAGGUUUAUCAGGUUUCACUCAGAGACGUCUUCCAGACUACAGAGUUCUCUGGUUUCCAGGAAUGCACCUCUCUACCAGCAAGAAGACAGGAAGUGAAAGACAACAGCGGAGCAGUGACGAGUCCUGAACACAGGUAAGGAGUCCUGAAAAGCCACGCCUACAAGCACCUGUCUCAGAAACGCAGGUAUCAGCAGGUAGUAGGAACACCGGAGCUCUGCAGAAACACUACUGGGAGAAAAGACUCAGAGGACAGCAGAAACUGGACCUGAACAAGACUGAUAAAGACUCGUGGACUCUGGAACCAGGAGGCGUUUUAUUGGAACCAAAGUACAUCCCAGAGACCCAACAGAACAAACAGCAUCGGUCUUCCGGCAGCAUUUCCAUCCUGGUCUACAGCAGUAGGAAGGAGGCCAAUAGCUGCUCAGAUAAACCAGCCAGGUUUUACAAUCUUCGCCUGAGCUUUACAAUCCAGACCAGAAAACUCCUCAACUCAUCCAGAAGAACCUUCACAAGAUGGUACCGACACCAACAAGUUCCAGCAGAGAACUGCCUGUUGGUUUCUCUGAAUUACAGAAAAAACUUAGAAAACCAGGAAUUAAAUUCAUCCAACAGUUUGACGUCAAAAAACCAAGGAUGAGCGAGAUAGUGAAAGAGUUACGGAGGAUUUCUGAGGAAGUAGAAAAAAUGCAGAAGAAAACAGACGAAGUUAGAACAGUAGGAUCAGUGGUAGGUGUAGUUGGAGUUGGAGUUGGGAUUCUUGUAGCUCCGUUUACUGGAGGAGUGAGUUUAGCUGUUGCUGCUGGUGGUGGCAUUUCAGCUGUUCUUGGUGUGAGUGUGGCAAAUGUAGUCAAGAUGUCCACAGAAACUGAUUGUGUACAGGCAGUAAAAAGAAUGGGGAAAGAAUUUGAGGGGAUUGUUGAACCACUGAAGGGAACCCUGAAAGAAAUACAGGAGACAUGUAAAGAGUUGGAGGAAGAAACAGCUGAAGAUCAGUCUGGAAACACUCUGAUCAACAUGGAGGAGUUUGAGAGGAUCCUCGGACAAGUGUCUGAAGAUGUCCUCAAAGGAUGGGUGGAGGACAAACUUGAGGACAUGGACAUCCUCAGACACUUGUCUGACAUCCUCAAACAAGUGCCUGAACUGAAGGAGCAGAGUGUAGAAAUUCUUGCUGUAGCUAAGUCAGUGAUUCAGGUGAUAGAAAAUCUGCUGAUUCUCAUUGUUAAAGUCUUCACACUCUUUGCAAGCCCUGAACAAGACAAACAGUUAAGAGACGCCAUCAUCCAGUCAGCUGAACAGACCGAGAAGGUCAUUGAAGAGUGUGAAAAGAUGCGAAACCUUUUGGAUGGGAUCCUCAGACAAGGUUGGAACUGCAGGAGGAGAGUUUAGGGGAUCUUCUUGUAGCUCCGUUGCAGAUGCUCAUUGUUGGUGUCUCUUAUCUGUGUCAUCAAUACCAACCAGAGAACAUCUGCUGAUGCUCAUCGUUAAGGUCUGCUAUAUUACCCGUAUAACAUCUGGAUAUAUAUAUAUAUAUUACUUGUCUAACAUCUUUAUAUAUAUAUAUAUAUAUAUAUAUAUAUAUAUAUAUAUAUAUAUAUAUAUAUAUAUAUAUAUAUAUACAUAUAUAUUACCUGCAUAACAUCUGUAUAUAUAUAUUACCUGUACAUAAUACGUGUAUCAUGGAUGUUGAACCAGCAUGUAGUACUUCUUCUAUACUUACAUGUACUUAGUUCCUUUCCAUACCACAUGUAUGAUAUGAGUUCAUGUUUUCUGUAGUUCCAGGUUCACUGCUGUACCUGCUGACAGGAAUGAUCCGUGUGUGAACGGUCAUGUAUGAUGUGUCUGUCAUACAGAUUAUCUGCUGUUGGUCUUUAAGGUGUGAUUUGAUGCUUCACAGUUUUAAAGGAUUCAAAGGUUAGACUAAAGCAGAAACAUUCACAGAGAGCAGGAACUUUGAGACUCCAGCAGUACCUGCAUCCAUCACAGCUACCAGAGAAAACCUGGCAGGUAGAGAGCAGGAAGCUGCUGCUGAUUGGGCGGAUCGUGUGCCAAGAGAUAUGGACAUAUCUGAGCAUCAACCAAUGGGAGGACUGAGUCUAAACCACGGUUCAUCCCCACCUUUAGCCAAUCACAUUCCAGCAGAGUGAAUUAUGUUUAUGUUCUAUAACCAAUCACAUUCCAGCAGAGUGAAUUAUGUUUUUGUUCUAUAACCAAUCACAUUCCAGCAGAGUGAAUUAUGUUUAUGUUCUAUAACCAAUCACAUUCCAGCAGAGUGAAUUAUGUUUAUGUUCUAUAACCAAUCACAUUCCAGCAGAGUGAAUUAUGUUUUUGUUCUAUAACCAAUCACAUUCCAGCAGAGUGAAUUAUGUUUAUGUUCUAUAACCAAUCACAUUCCAGCAGAGUGAAUUAUGUUUAUGUUCUAUAACCAAUCACAUUCCAGCAGAGUGAAUUAUGUUUAUGUUCUAUAACCAAUCACAUUCCAGCAGAGUGAAUUAUGUUUUUGUUCUAUAACCAAUCACAUUCCAGCAGAGUGAAUUAUGUUUAUGUUCUAUAACCAAUCACAUUCCAGCAGAGUGAAUUAUGUUUAUGUUCUAUAACCAAUCACAUUCCAGCAGAGUGAAUUAUGUUUAUGUUCUAUAACCAAUCACAUUCCAGCAGAGUGAACUAUGUUUAUGUUCUAUAACCAAUCACAUUCCAGCAGAGUGAAUUAUGUUUAUGUUCUAUAACCAAUCACAUUCCAGCGUAGUGAGCAGAUGUUGGGUUCUUGUCAGACUGAUCUUUCCUGGGAGGAUGUUCCACACAGAGAAGCUUCUUGAUGGAGAUUCUUUUACUUUCUGGUCUUAGAUAAUAAACAUCUUCACUGGAGAGAA